AGAGUUUGAUCAUGGCUCAGGAUGAACGCUAGCGGCAGGCCUAAUACAUGCAAGUCGAACGGGUGUCCUUCGGGGCACCAGUGGCGCACGGGUGCGUAACGCGUAUGCAACCUACCUACCACUGGGGGGAUAGCCUCCCGAAAGGGAGAUUAAUACCGCAUAACACAGCUUGAGGGCAUCUGAGGGCUGUUAAAGAUUUAUCGGUGGUAGAUGGGCAUGCGUGCCAUUAGCUAGUUGGCGGGGUAACGGCCCACCAAGGCUACGAUGGCUAGGGGUUCUGAGAGGACGGUCCCCCACACUGGCACUGAGAUACGGGCCAGACUCCUACGGGAGGCAGCAGUAGGGAAUAUUGGGCAAUGGGCGGAAGCCUGACCCAGCCAUGCCGCGUGCAGGAUGAAGGCCUUCUGGGUUGUAAACUGCUUUUACAGGGGAAGAAAACACCCAUGCGUGGGGAACUGACGGUACCCUGGGAAUAAGCACCGGCUAACUCCGUGCCAGCAGCCGCGGUAAUACGGAGGGUGCAAGCGUUGUCCGGAUUUAUUGGGUUUAAAGGGUGCGUAGGCGGCCCCUUAAGUCAGCGGUGAAAGCCCGGGGCUCAACCCCGGAACCGCCGUUGAUACUGGGGGGCUUGAGUACAGACGAGGUUGGCGGAAUUGAGGGUGUAGCGGUGAAAUGCUUAGAUACCCUCAAGAACACCGAUUGCGUAGGCAGCUAACUAGGCUGUAACUGACGCUGAGGCACGAAAGCGUGGGGAGCGAACAGGAUUAGAUACCCUAGUAGUCC
rnacentral:rRNA from 1 species